GACGUAGGGCGCGAGCGUUGUCCGGAUUUAUUGGGCGUAAAGAGCUCGUAGGCGGCUUGUCGCGUCGUUCGUGAAAACCUGCGGCUCAACUGCAGGCUUGCGGUCGAUACGGGCAGGCUGGAGUUCGGUAGGGGAGACUGGAAUUCCCGGUGUAGCGGUGAAAUGCGCAGAUAUCAGGAGGAACACCGGUGGCGAAGGCGGGUCUCUGGGCCGAUACUGACGCUGAGGAGCGAAAGCGUGGGGAGCGAACAGG
rnacentral:rRNA from 1 species